rnacentral:siRNA from 1 species
ACGGUGUUGUAGAUUUGCUCCA